ACCCCAGGUCAGGCGGGGCUACCCGCUGAGUUUAAGCAUAUCAAUAAGCGGAGGAAG
rnacentral:rRNA from 1 species